rnacentral:rRNA from 1 species
GACGAACGCUGGCGGCGUGCUUAACACAUGCAAGUCGAACGGAAAGGCCCUGCUUUUGUGGGGUGCUCGAGUGGCGAACGGGUGAGUAACACGUGAGUAACCUGCCCUUGACUUUGGGAUAACUUCAGGAAACUGGGGCUAAUACCGGAUAGGAGCUCCUGCUGCAUGGUGGGGGUUGGAAAGUUUCGGCGGUUGGGGAUGGACUCGCGGCUUAUCAGCUUGUUGGUGGGGUAGUGGCUUACCAAGGCUUUGACGGGUAGCCGGCCUGAGAGGGUGACCGGCCACAUUGGGACUGGGGUACGGCCCAGACUGCUACGGGAGGCAGGAGUGGGGAAUAUUGCACAAUGGGCGGAAGCCUGAUGCAGCGACGCCGCGUGCGGGAUGACGGCCUUCGGGUAGUAAACCGCUUUCGCCUGUGACGAAGCGUGAGUGACGGUAAUGGGGAAAGAAGCACCGGCUAACUACGU